rnacentral:rRNA from 1 species
CCAAUAGCGUAUAUUAAAGUUGCUGCAGUUAAAAAGCUCGUAGUUGAAUUUCGGAACCAAUAUGUUGGUUGUGCCUCGGUACGUACUGGCAUUGUUGGUUUCUCCCUUCUGACGAACUAUGAUGUCAUUAAUUUGGUGUCAUGGGGAAUCAGGACUGUUACUUUGAAAAAAUUAGAGUGUUUAAAGCAGGCUCACGCUUGAAUACAUUAGCAUGGAAUAAUGAAAUAGGACGUUUGAUUCUAUUUUGUUGGUUUCUAGGAUUGACGUAAUGAUUAAUAGGGAUAGUUGGGGGCAUUAGUAUUCAAUUGUCAGAGGUGAAAUUCUUGGAUUUAUUGAAGACUAACUACUGCGAAAGCAUUUGCCAAGGAUGUUUUCAUUAAUCAAGAACGAAAGUUAGGGGAUCGAAGACGAUCAGAUACCGUCGUAGUCUUAACCAUAAACUAUGCCGACUAGGGAUCGGAUGAUGUUAAUUUUUUAAUGACUCAUUCGGCGCCUUACG